rnacentral:rRNA from 1 species
GAUGAACGCUGGCGGCGUGCUUAACACAUGCAAGUCGAACGGUGAAGGCGGAGCUUGCUCUGCUGGAUCAGUGGCGAACGGGUGAGUAACACGUGAGCAAUCUGCCCCUGACUCUGGGAUAAGCGCUGGAAACGGCGUCUAAUACUGGAUACGAGCUGCGAAGGCAUCUUCAGCAGCUGGAAAGAACUUCGGUCAGGGAUGAGCUCGCGGCCUAUCAGCUUGUUGGUGAGGUAACGGCUCACCAAGGCGUUGACGGGUAGCCGGCCUGAGAGGGUGACCGGCCACACUGGGACUGAGACACGGCCCAGACUCCUACGGGAGGCAGCAGUGGGGAAUAUUGCACAAUGGGCGAAAGCCUGAUGCAGCAACGCCGCGUGAGGGACGACGGCCUUCGGGUUGUAAACCUCUUUUAGCAGGGAAGAAGCGAAAGUGACGGUACCUGCAGAAAAAGCGCCGGCUAACUACGUG